CUUUGGAAUUAUGGAAGAAUAUUGGAAGGAAGAGAAAUGAGGAUGCUUUGCUUUACUGUGGGGAACACCAGUCUGGUAUCCUGGAAAAUCUGUGGGCAGCUUCUGGAGACAGUCUCCAUUGCAAGAAAACCUCCAGAGUCUGGGAGAUCUUGUGUUUGAACUGGGAUUCCUGAGAAAAGAUGGAGAUGAGUGACUCUGAAACUUACACUGAAUUUCCUUAGCAGCUCCUGCACUCUUAUGAAAGACACUGCUCUCAUAUUUUAUGCCCAUUGAGCUCACUGAGGAGCUGCUAUCACUAGCCACUGGCUUUAUUGGGGUCAUUAUUUAAAAAAAUUAAACUCUUUGAGAACCUGCCACCUCUGUUUUGCAAAGAAAGAUUGUAAACAUUGGCAAGGACAGGAUAAAUCUGCAGAAUCUAUUCUGGCUGUACUAAAAGCUCCAAUUUUAAAGGUGUCAUUUUCAAACCAGCUCCUAAACUGUAUAUUUUUAAUGUUUCUUGGUGUGUGCAGAGAGGUGCAGACACUUCCUCCUUUUGUGGAACUCCCAGAUGGUCAAAACUCCUGAGACUUGGCACUGACACAGUCAAAGGUGCACACUGGAUUUGGAAUGCCCAAGCUCAGUGGUUGGUUAAAAAAUCCCAGCCAUGAUAUAUAAUAAAUGACAGAUGUUAUAGAUACUCCUGGGUGCAAUGAGGAAGGUCACAGAAAUUUGCUUCUAAAAAUCAAUUUUAAUUUCUCUUUUCCUGCUGACAGCUUGGUGCUAAGGGUGGGCCUCCAUUUGAUGUGAGCCCUGCAAGCUGCUGCAGGCUACCAGUGAUUGGAAUUUACUUGGAUUAGUCUAAUUGCUGCCUCUGCCAUCAUCUGUUUGCAAUCACAAAGAGGAAGCUUCUGAAGCUUGGGAAUGAGAGAAAAUGAAGUGUCCUGACAACCACAAAACAGCAAGAAAGCUUUUGGAGGUUUUCCCAUCACUGUUUGGAUAAAUUCAGAGACAAGGCCUCACUAAUGCUCCUUAGCAACUUCAGCUCAAGUCCAAAACCAAAUGAUGCCCCUGGGGAUUUAAUGUGUUCUUAGAGUGAAAUAUCUGCCCCACUGCAGAUACUGCCCUUAGCUCCAUCACAGCCUCCUUAUUGUUUAAAAGCUGGCCUCUGAAGACAGCAUCAGUGAGGAACAGUGGGAGAUAACAACACAAACCAGAGGAAGGAAAAGAGAUCCUAAGAGCUGUCAGAACAGCAGCAGCAGUUGGCCUAGAGGAGAAGCUGCCCUCCAGCCACAAUCCUACCCCGUGGCUGAUCCAGAACCUUGGGAACCAGGCACGUGGUGACCUCCAGAGAUGGCAGCCAGCAGCAAACCCACGGGACCUGCAGUGACACAGCGCAGCAAAAGCUGUAAAGUGACACUGCACAGGAGUCAGAAAAUCAUCCAUGGACUCCACUCAGAUUUCUGGAGGCAGGGCUGGCACGUUGGAUUGCAACAUUGCUGAAAGGAAAAGCGUGAACGCUGCAGGAAUUUCUGCUCCAUGGAAAAAUGUUAUUUUUGGAUUCUUCAGGAAGGCGUGCACAUAAAACCACCGGUUCCCUGCUUGGUGGUCAUGGAGUCACCUGUGUCCCCCGUGUCCCUCUGGUUGCCCUCUGAGCUCAGGCUGCAUCUUUAUGGGAAGAAGGUGCCCAAGAAAGUGACAACAGCCAGGAGAAAGCAAGACGGAGACUUGGCAGCUGAAAUUUUGA